AGAGUUUGAUCCUGGCUCAGGAUGAACGCUGGCGGCGUGCUUAAUACAUGYAAGUCGAACGGAGAUAGUAGCAAUAUUAUCUUAGUGGCGAACGGGUGAGUAACGCGUUGGUGACCUGCCCCGAAGAGAGGGAUAGCAGUUCGAAAGGACUGAUAAUACCCCAUGUGGUUGUUGGUUUUAGAAUCCGACAACUAAACGGCGAAAGUCGCUUCGGGAGGGGCCUGCGUCCCAUCAGCUAGUUGGUAGGGUAAUGGCCUACCAAGGCUAUGACGGGUAGGGGACCUGAGAGGGUGGCCCCMCACAAUGGAACUGAAACACRGUCCAUACACCUACGGGUGGCAGCAGUAGGGAAUAUUGGUUAAUSUGCGAAAGCGSGAACCAGCRACGCCGCGUGCACGAUGAAGGCCUUCGGGUCGUAAAGUGCUUUUUGAGAGGGAUGAGGGAAGGACGGUACUCUUAGAAUAAGCUUCGGCUAACUACGUGCCAGCAGCCGCGGUAAUA
rnacentral:rRNA from 1 species